rnacentral:rRNA from 1 species
UACGUAGGGGGCAAGCGUUGUCCGGAUUUAUUGGGCGUAAAGAGCGUGUAGGCGGCUUGGUAGGUCCGCUGUGAAAACUCGAGGCUCAACCUCGAGAUGUCGGCGGAAACCACUUGGCUAGAGUCCGGAAGAGGAGAGUGGAAUUCCCGGUGUAGCGGUGAAAUGCGCAGAUAUCGGGAAGAACACCCGUCGCGAAGGCGGCUCUCUGGGACGGUACUGACGCUGAGGCGCGAAAGCGUGGGGAGCGAACAGG